rnacentral:rRNA from 1 species
GGGGAAUAUUGGACAAUGGGCGCAAGCCUGAUCCAGCCAUGCCGCGUGUGUGAAGAAGGUCUUCGGAUUGUAAAGCACUUUAAGUUGGGAGGAAGGGCGCUUGGCUAAUACCCAAGGGUUUUGACGUUACCAACAGAAUAAGCACCGGCUAACUUCGUGCCAGCAGCCGCGGUAAUACGAAGGGUGCGAGCGUUAAUCGGAAUUACUGGGCGUAAAGCGCGCGUAGGCGGUUUGUUAAGUUGGAGGUGAAAUCCCCGGGCUCAACCUGGGAAGUGCCUCCAAAACUGGCUGACUAGAGUACGGUAGAGGGUGGUGGAAUUUCCUGUGUAGCGGUGAAAUGCGUAGAUAUAGGAAGGAACACCAGUGGCGAAGGCGACCACCUGGACUGAUACUGACGCUGAGGUGCGAAAGCGUGGGGAGCAAACA